GAUGAAGAACGCAGCGAAAUGCGAUAAGUAAUGUGAAUUGCAGAAUUCAGUGAAUCAUCGAAUCUUUGAACGCACAUUGCGCCCGCCAGUAUUCUGGCGGGCAUGCCUGUUCGAGCGUCAUUUCAACCAUCAAGCCCCCCGGCUUGUGUUGGGGACCUGCGGCUGCCGCAGGCCCUGAAAAGCAGUGGCGGGCUCGCUGUCACACCGAGCGUAGUAGAUCUCAUCUCGCUCAGGGCGUGCUGCGGGUUCCGGCCGUUAAACCACCUUCAUAACCCAAGGUUGACCUCGGAUCAGGUAGGAAGACCCGCUGAACUUAAGCAUAUCAAUAAGCGGAGGU
rnacentral:misc_RNA from 1 species